GACCUCGGAUCAGGUAGGAAUACCGCCUGAAUUAAAGCUAUUAAAAACGGGAAGGAAUG
rnacentral:rRNA from 1 species